AGACAGACGAUUUAAAUAACGGAAAAUCAAAAGAAAAUAGUAUCGAGAAUGAUUGGAAAGGUGGAAUCAAGACCAGAUCAAAGGCAUAGAUUCCAAAUCUGUUUGGGUCUCCUUCACCCCAUAUUAUACUAUUCUACAAAAGUGAGUUUCAAUAGGUGAACCAGGCUGGACGUCACCAUGCCUGCCUGGCAAGAAUAAAGGCAAAUUUAUAAUCAGCUUAGUCCCAUGUAUUUAGCUUCUGCCACGUGUUCACACCCUUAUCUAUCUUUUUGCUAUCAUGUGCCCUUCUUUGUUCAGAUGAUGUGAUUUCUCUUUGGUUCCUCCCAUUCUCCAUGUGCUUGCCCUGCUCCUUCGUCUAUUGAUUUCUUGUCGCUGUGCGGUGAUCCUUCGUCCAUUUAUUCAGGGUCUCAACAGCCUUUUCAUAAUGAACACCUUAGAAGGAUCGGUUCAAGUGCCGACCGAAGCAGUAUAUACAUACUAUCCGGUCUACAAGAUUCAGAGAUAGCCCCAGAAAUGGUCACAGGGAACAUAUUUGCAUCAUAAGAGAAUCAAGGCUACCCAGGAUGUAACGAUAACCACCAGGAUAAAUCAAGCAGAGUACAGUGGCAUCGACUUGAAUUUCUUUUCUAGUGGAUGCUUGCUUACCUUCUUAUGGUAUCGUAGGAAUCUAUAUCACACGAUAAGUGCGUGUUAAUUCUCUUCAUAAUCGUGUUUUCUUUCCCACGUAACAGAAAAAUUGAUAUGAUGUUUUUUCUUUUCAUAGUUGAAUUAUAUGACUAAUUUUAUCAUAAAUUGUUGUUGUUACUAACCCAAUAGUAUUAAGCCUAUGGAAACUCAUUUUUGUUGUUGUACUUGUUCCUUCAAAAAAACAUCCAGUAAAUACUCCUCCAGCAUGAGGGAGAACUCAAAGGCGGGUGAGUGAUUACUUUCUCAACCUCUUUAAUUGAUUCAUUUAAUAAGGAUACAGAACCUCUAUAACUGAGUCAUCUCAAGAUUCUGAUUUUUUUUACUAUCUUGAAAAUUUGAAAGUUCAGUUUGUACUUUGUUUUAGUCACUCAUUGUUUCCAUUCAGCUUCUAUACCUAGAAUAGUUUAUAUUUUUAGUUGUAUGAGUGUUGUAUUAUGUUGGAUGAGGACUCUACUGAUUUUGGGUUGUAGUUGUGUACUUUUCCCCCCUAUUGUCUUACUGCUUUGAAAUGUGAUGAUUGUUGUGAGAGAUGAUUUUAGUUUGCAUUGCAUAAAAUGAUUCUCAUAGCAAAAGUUGUCCCUCUUAGAUUUGGUGGAACGUUAAAGACUUUGUUAUAUUUUUGUGAGUAUUUUCAUUUGUUCUAGUUAAGCUUUUUCUGGUGUUGCAAUAAAGUUAUUUAGAUUUCUGAUGCUUUUGCUUUGUUUUGUUUCUGCAACGGGGCAACUUCCUUCCCAGGAUAUUUUGGCCCUGCUUGAGUAUAAACAGGAAAAUAACGGCAAUUGAAUUUGAAUUGUGGCCAGAAGUAAAUUCAAUGUAUUGUAGUACACGAUGAAGAAUUUUUCUACUAUUGUAAUAAAGUUUGAAUACAUUUCGUUUUGUGGAAUUUAUUGAUAGUAGAGAUCUUUAAGCAAUUACUUUAUAAGUAUUGGUUUUACAAGA